UUGGAAAGCCUUAAACCAAGAAGUAUGGGGGUUAUGUGAAUUCCCACUGAAUCCUAGCUCAGCUUUCUAGUUUACUUUAAGGUAAUGGUGACUUUCUCUUACAUAUGUAACCUCUAAGUAAGAAUGUGAAAGGACAGAGAUUCCAGUGGAACAUUUGCUAAGGUUGUCUGAAGAUUCCUUACUGGGAGGAGAGAUGUUAGUCUCUGCAUAAAGCCCUAGAGACUGUUUUCUGUCUUCCCUAGAUACCGACAGAGUAAUUUUGGUAGGUAUCAGGACAUCACCUGCAAUGCUGAUGUUUUCAGUUAGUGCUAGAAAUAUUCUCCAGAAAAAUAGUCCCUUAUAACAUCUUUAGACAUUUUGAACAUAUUGGAGAUUACACUUAGGUGAAACAUCAGUCCUGCAAGUUCUGUCAGAGAACUCUAUUUAUAACAUAUUGUAUGUUUUUCUACUCUUUCUCCUUGAUGCAAUGGCUUUCCAUUUGAACACAGAACUCCAAAGUAAUAGACUUGAGUAUUCUCUGCACUAAUGCUGUGGUAUCCAGUGUCAGUCUGAAUAAUGAUUUCAUUCUGGAGAUCUUCUGGGCUUGUACCUGCUUCAAUGUCACUGAUUUGGACUUAGAUUCAGUACGAGAAAUAUACCUUGCUUAAUAAUUUCAUUUUGUACUUUGCCUACACAGGAGCUGGAAAGUGUUUUCCUUUAAAUCUAGUCUUGGCAUCAACCUGGUUCUGAGUGCCAGAUGGCAAAUAGUUUCCCUGCAGAUUGCAGAAGUGUCUCGGAUUGGAUGUUUUACCUGGGCUGGCUGGAAAUAGAAGCUCUGGGAUCUCUGGUCUGGAGUCUCUGUCUGACACUUCCGACAGAAGAGAGGAGGAGACCUGUUUAUCUACUGCAACACCUGAUCCAGUGGUGAGCAUGACAAAGAGUCUGUGAACUCCAAAAGCAAGAAAAUGACUUCAAAUUUUGCCAAUGACUGAAUGUAUGAGCUUGAAAUAACCUGUGUAAUUUUGGCUUCAACUGAUCCACAUUAGUGUUACCAUACAUGGUAUCUACAAGGAUACUUUUCAGACAGUUCUCAAUCUUCAUGAAGAAUACCACCAUAGAGAAGAGCUAGACAUGCAUAUACACAUCUGUCUAUGUUUCCACAAUAAUGUCACAUAUACACAUACAUAUAUCCAUAAUAGUGCACAUGUAUGUAUAGGUAAUACAUCACUGACAGACAUAUAUGCUAUUUUAAGGGUGUGGAAAAAUGUGGCAUUUUUUCAUACAUUUGUCAGUCUAGAGUAAGGCAAUUAACAGGCUACAAAUCCCCCAAAGAUAUAUUUACAGCACAAUUUACAAGCAACAUUGCAGCGUUUUUUCUAGAGAUAGAUAAAAUAACUGCAGAUGUUCUGUAAACAGGAGACAUUUUGAAGCUUUUUGUGGAAGGCAGCAUAUACAACAUUUAUUGUACCCAUAAAAACUACAGUACUACAUGAUUUUGUGGCACACUUUUUAUGAAUUAAACUUUAAAAAUCCCUGUUUGAAGAAAAAUAAAUGCUGAACUCCAAAAAUAAGCUGGGUGGGGGCAAUAUAUGCCUGUUUUUUACACAGUUAUUUAAAUAUCAUAUGAAGAAACCGGUAAUAUAGUAAAACUAGGACAUAUCUUCAUAUCUGUGAGAAUGAUGACUGUUUAAAAAUACAUAUUUUCUGAAAUAAGUUAUGUAACUUACAAUAAAUAAGCUCCAAGAAACUGUUUAUUGUCUAGACAGUUACUGAAAAAUUUACCUUACUUCUGCUUUACUACAGCUAAGGUCAAAAUUAUUCCUAGCUAUACCCAUCUUCAGGCUGAGUUAAAUCCACUUGGUGCUGAUUAUGUCUCACACCUUAUCUGUAUUAAUUUAUUUUACUUAGGUCAGAAAUCUCAAAAUCUGCCAUGAUCUCAAUCUACAUUUACAGUAAAUAUAAGUAACUGUUCUGCAUAUUGCAUAGAUUAAAAAAAAUACCAUGCAACUUUUACACACCUGCUUUUCCACCAUCUCUUUUAGAUGU